AUCCAAAUAAUUUUUUGAGGGUAGUACACCCCCAUUCUUCAUUGGGGAAAAAUGUGGCUGUGCCUUAUGUUCAUCAUCAUCAUUUCACUUUUAAGAGGAAGCACAGGACAGUCAGUGAAGCAAACAUCUGGCAUUGUGACUGUUGCUGAAGGACAAACUGUCUCUCUCAAUUGUUCCUACGAAGUACAGUUCAGUGGCAUGAAUUACCCCUUCUGGUACCUUCAGCAUCCUGGUCAGCCUCCGAAGCUCUUGUUGACCAGUUUUAACAAAAAUGCCCAAGGAUUCCAGGCUACUCAAGACGAACACGAUAAAAAGGGGACUUUCAACAUGCAGAAACAAGCCAUUGAGUUGAAGGACUCUGCUGUCUACUUCUGUGCUUUCACAGACACAAUGAGAGGAAGCAGAAGGGGAGCCAAUCAAAAACAGGAGAAAAAGAAUUAAGAGCAGAGACAGGACAAUUUUGCAAUAGUCAAGGAGUUGGGCCACUUGUCCAUGCGGAAAUCUUCUCAAGGCUUGAUAGUACAGUGGUCUACGCACCCUGUUAUUAACACAGCUGCCUGCAAUUUACUGCUGGUUCGAAUCUUUCCAAGGCUCAAGGUUGACUCAGCCUUCCAUCCUUUCUAAGGUAGGUGAAAUGAGGACCCAGUUUGUGGGGGCAAU